UGAAGAGUUUGUUAUGAAAACGGAGCAGGGGAUUAAGUUAAAGGCGUAUGAAGAAAUAAAGAACCUACUGACAGGGUGGUUACAACACCACCAAGUUAAUGAGAUACUAAAAGAGGAUAAAAAAAGAUUGGGAUUUGAGGAAAAGAAAUCAAAAUUUCAAAUCGAUAUUAUAGAAGGUAACAACAAACUUUUGUCCAAAAUGUAUGACUUAUUACUGGACUGGUUUACUAAAGAUGAGGAGGUAAAAGAAGCCAUGAUUAAGUGGGCCAUGGAUUUUGGAUAUAAUAUAGAAUUAGAAGCGUGGCGUGAAUUAUGGAAUGUCAAUAUGAAAUUUACGAAGUGUACGGCUUUACAGGAAAAUAUGUGGAAAAUGAUAUAUAGGUGGUACCUCACGCAGGUAAAAUUGGCAAAGAUGUAUAAAAUAAAAAAUAGGAAGUGUUGGAAGUGUGGUGAGGCAGAAGGAGAUUUAGAUCAUAUGUGGUGGGUUUGUGGGAAAGUGAAGGGUUUUUGGGAAUCAAUAUAUAAUGAGCUUAAAAAAAUCUUUAAGUAC